UACGGGAGGCAGCAGUGGGGAAUAUUGCACAAUGGGCGCAAGCCUGAUGCAGCCAUGCCGCGUGUAUGAAGAAGGCCUUCGGGUUGUAAAGUACUUUCAGUCGUGAGGAAGGUGUUAAGGUUAAUAACCUUAGCAAUUGACGUUAGCGACAGAAGAAGCACCGGCUAACUCCGUGCCAGCAGCCGCGGUAAUACGGAGGGUGCGAGCGUUAAUCGGAAUUACUGGGCGUAAAGGGCACGCAGGCGGUUAAUUAAGUUGGAUGUGAAAUCCCCGGGCUUAACCUGGGAAUGGCAUUCAAGACUGGUUAGCUAGAGUCUUGUAGAGGGGGUUAGAAUUCCAUGUGUAGCGGUGAAAUGCGUAGAGAUGUGGAGGAAUACCGGUGGCGAAGGCGGCCCCUGGACAAAGGACUGACGCUCAUGUGCGAAAGCGUGGGAAGCAAACAGGGAUUAGAUACC
rnacentral:rRNA from 1 species